CGGACCUGACUGCUAUCGGAUUGAUACUAAGCCAUGCGAGUCAUUGUAGCAAUACAAGGCAUACGGCUCAGUAACGCGUAGUCAACCUAACCUAUGGACGGGAAUAACCUCGGGAAACUGAGAAUAAUGCCCGAUAGAACAUUAUGCCUGGAAUGGUUUAUGUUCCAAAUGAUUUAUCGCCGUAGGAUGGGACUGCGGCCUAUCAGUUUGUUGGUGAGGUAAUGGCCCACCAAGACUAUUACAGGUACGGGCUCUGAGAGGAGUAGCCCGGAGAUGGGUACUGAGACACGGACCCAGGCCCUAUGGGGCGCAGCAGGCGAGAAAACCUUGCAAUGUGCGAAAGCACGACAAGGUUAAUCCGAGUGGUUUCUGCUAAAGGAACCUUUUGUCAGUCCUAGAAACACUGAUGAAUAAGGGGUGGGCAAGUUCUGGUGUCAGCCGCCGCGGUAAAACCAGCACCUCAAGUGGUCAGGAUGAUUAUUGGGCCUAAAGCAUCCGUAGCCGGCUCUGUAAGUUUUCGGUUAAAUCUGUACGCUCAACGUACAGGCUGCCGGGAAUACUGCAAAGCUAGGGAGUGGGAGAGGUAGACGGUACUCGGUAGGAAGGGGUAAAAUCCUUUGAUCUAUUGAUGACCACCUGUGGCGAAGGCGGUCUACCAGAGCACGUCCGACGGUGAGGGAUGAAAGCUGGGGGAGCAAACCGGAUUAGAUACCCGGGUAGUCCCAGCUGUAAACCAUGCAAACUCAGUGAUGCAUUGGCUUGUGGCCAAUGCAGUGCUGCAGGGAAGCCGUUAAGCUUGCCGCCUGGGAAGUACGUACGCAAGUAUGAAACUUAAAGGAAUUGGCGGGG
rnacentral:rRNA from 1 species